GCAGGGACACAAACAACUCGAGUGUCUUUGCGGUCACACGCUCCGCCUCUCGGUCAAUCCAGACAAAUUCUAAGAGUUGUGCCGAAGCUUUUAAGCUGUAAUUGAGGACAGGAUGCCCAGGAAAACCAAAGCCAGCACUGCACAGACCUGGAUUUUUAUAGCUGCUAUAGUAUUCUUGUGCGCCUUUCCCCUCAAGCCAGACAGACACCACAAAAUCGGUCAAGCGUGAUAGGAAGUCACCACCUACACUGACUCAAAGUCAGCAGCUGGGGAAUUUCAGCAACAUAGAAACAUGUGUCUGUACACAGCUAAGGUGACAGAAACGAGGGCGAUGACAGAGAGGCCUGGCGGACCACACAAGGGCUCCAAGGCGAAACUGACCAACUCCACGGUCAACGGGAGCGCCUCCGGCUAGUCAGGGGAGAAUCACAAGGCUGGAUUAGCCUGCAGAGGGUGUCAUGAGAAACAAGGCGCCAGGAGGAGCGGGACUGGACAAAAGGACAUAAAGUGGUGUGGGGAAUAAAAGAAUAUUUACAAAGAGGUCAUUUGAAAGAAUAACAAGGAAUACGAGAAAGAACCAAGACGCGAGUAAAGCGAAAUUAAAGGAUUUCAUCUUCAUUAAUAAAAAUAAAACUCCUCACAAAGUACAAAAUAGAAUAAUGAAAUAGAAAAUUCAUUUUUUUUUACAUAAAAAGCGUUCGGCAAAUAAACCCAGAAAUUGUGAGUAUUCUUAGAAGAUCUUAGUUAUUUUAUUUCUUAUAGGUAACCAGUUGGAUUUCAGUCCUCUAAUAAAUAAAACUAGAAGCCUACAUGCGCCAGAUCUUUGGUUGAGUUCCAGUGUUUAGUUGCGAUCUCCCACAACAUGAAAAAAACGAUCGCUUUGAAAGGACAUUUGAUAAAAUUACACGACCAUGCGACGUUUAGUUUUACUUAAACGAGGAGAGAGAGAAAAUCUGUUUGGGGUCUUAAAACAGGCGCAGUGUGCGUCAAAUAACGCAAAUCCCGACCUGCGUUUCUUUCUUUCUUUCUUACUAAAAAGUCACAUUUUUACACCACAUUAACCUUCAGUAUUUUCCUUUUCUGUUGUAUAUUUUUUCAGCUUGCUCGGCGCUGAAAUGAUCUUCUCAAGAUGUUGACAUCUUGCGGACGCAACGCCGAGUUUCUUGCUUUUUUUCUUUUUUCUUUUUUCUUUUUUCUUUUUUCUUUUUUCUUUUUUCUUUUUUUUCUUUUCUUUUCUUUCUUUUUUCUUUUGUUUAAUUGCUGAAUCUAAGCUCAAAUAAUAAUGGGCGACUUCAAAAAUUCUACUUUCGUUCACAAAUAUAAAUGGCCCUCAUGGUUACCAAAUCAUCGUGAAAUAACGGAUUAUACUUUAAACUGUCAAGUGGAUUUUAAUUCUUUUUUUUUUCUUUACGUGGAUUCACAAACAAAUGUGAAACUCCCACAAUUUGCUUCACUUAUUAUAAAUGAAUCUUCUAAAUCAGGUAAGAUGAUUCAGUGAAUUUGCUAUUUAUAUAAGAGAAGGACAGCAGGUUCUAAAAAACAACAACAGAUGUAUUUCUUUCGUUUCCGUGGAGUCUUUUCGACUUGCCCACAUAAUAAGAAUUCAAGUUAUCACAGAUCAACUGAUCACACAAUUGAUUCGACAUAUUAUGUAUAAUGAUCUUUGUUAUUGUUGACCACCAUUUAAAAUGAACAAUUUUGUGCUGGGGGUGUUCGCAAACCUACAAACGAGUGGCUAGCUUUGACUGACGCAUCCUUGCCGGUACAUCCUUCUUAAAUCUAGUCUGUAUACCCUUCGUGAAUGAAGACAGUACAUUUUGGGGCAUUUAUACAUGAAACCAAAUGAGAUGAUCUGAUAUCCGGACAGGAAACCCGCUCUGUCUAUAAAGACUGAGGCGCCGACUGGGGCAUGGAGGAGGCUUUCAUAUAAUCUCGGUCAAGUGCUUCUAUUGGCCCGCUGUCACGGUCUUGGGUAAGCUUAUGUCCGCUUGGGGUCUUUGUGCUGUAUUACAAGAUUAUCUUCCAAAAUCACGCUAUCAAGCUUGAAAGCUGCACUGCAGGCUAAGUGAAGGUUGCAGGCCUGUCCUCCAUUAUGCUCAGAGACAGCGAAGGUCAAUGUAAAGAGCAACGCAAAGAGCCGGCCCUGAAUGCAGAGCUCAUUCACGGCUGACAGCGCGUGGAGUGAUGUUGUGCAUCGUGUACAACACAGUUUCUACAAUCUAAGCAUGCCAAAUUGUCCAGUGUUAUUUCAUAGGACGCAUUUUUUAUUUAAAGAAAACACUAACAGUGACUUUUGUCCAUUGCUUGUUUUGUUUUUGUUUUAUCAUUACCUUCCACUGUGUAAAUUAAAAGCUGAUAGUAAAAU
ensembl:lncRNA